UGCAAGUCGAGCGAACUGAUUAGAAGCUUGCUUCUAUGACGUUAGCGGCGGACGGGUGAGUAACACGUGGGCAACCUGCCUGUAAGACUGGGAUAACUUCGGGAAACCGAAGCUAAUACCGGAUAGGAUCUUCUCCUUCAUGGGAGAUGAUUGAAAGAUGGUUUCGGCUAUCACUUACAGAUGGGCCCGCGGUGCAUUAGCUAGUUGGUGAGGUAACGGCUCACCAAGGCAACGAUGCAUAGCCGACCUGAGAGGGUGAUCGGCCACACUGGGACUGAGACACGGCCCAGACUCCUACGGGAGGCAGCAGUAGGGAAUCUUCCGCAAUGGACGAAAGUCUGACGGAGCAACGCCGCGUGAGUGAUGAAGGCUUUCGGGUCGUAAAACUCUGUUGUUAGGGAAGAACAAGUACGAGAGUAACUGCUCGUACCUUGACGGUACCUAACCAGAAAGCCACGGCUAACUACGUGCCAGCAGCCGCGGUAAUACGUAGGUGGCAAGCGUUAUCCGGAAUUAUUGGGCGUAAAGCGCGCGCAGGCGGUUUCUUAAGUCUGAUGUGAAAGCCCACGGCUCAACCGUGGAGGGUCAUUGGAAACUGGGGAACUUGAGUGCAGAAGAGAAAAGCGGAAUUCCACGUGUAGCGGUGAAAUGCGUAGAGAUGUGGAGGAACACCAGUGGCGAAGGCGGCUUUUUGGUCUGUAACUGACGCUGAGGCGCGAAAGCGUGGGGAGCAAACAGGAUUAGAUACCCUGGUAGUCCACGCCGUAAACGAUGAGUGCUAAGUGUUAGAGGGGUUUCCGCCCUUUAGUGCUGCAGCUAACGCAUUAAGCACUCCGCCUGGGGAGUACGGUCGCAAGACUGAAACUCAAAGGAAUUGACGGCGGGCCCGCACAAGUCGGUUGGAGCAUGUGGGUUAUUUCGAAGCAACG
rnacentral:rRNA from 2 species